rnacentral:rRNA from 1 species
CGGACCUCAGAUCAGGCAAGACCACCCGCUGAGUUUAAGCAUAUCACUAAGCGGAGGAAAAGAAACUAACGAGGAUUUCCU